rnacentral:rRNA from 1 species
GAACUUAAGCAUAUCAAUAAGCGGAGGAAAAGAAACCAACAGGGAUUGCCUCAGUAACGGCGAGUGAAGCGGCAACAGCUCAAAUUUGAAAUCUGGCUCUUUCAGGGUCCGAGUUGUAAUUUGUAGAAGAUGCUUUGGGUGUGGCUCCGGUCUAAGUUCCUUGGAACAGGACGUCAUAGAGGGUGAGAAUCCCGUACGUGACUGGUUGCCUCCGCCCGUGUAAAGCUCUUUCGACGAGUCGAGUUGUUUGGGAAUGCAGCUCAAAAUGGGUGGUAAAUUUCAUCUAAAGCUAAAUAUUGGCCAGAGACCGAUAGCGCACAAGUAGAGUGAUCGAAAGAUGAAAAGCACUUUGGAAAGAGAGUUAAACAGUACGUGAAAUUGUUGAAAGGGAAGCGCUUGCAACCAGACUUGCAUGCGGUUGAUCAUCCGAGCUUCUGCCCGGUGCACUCGAUCGUAUUCAGGCCAGCAUAGGUUUUGGUGGGCGGAUAAAGGCCUUGGGAAUGUAGCUUCCUUCGGGGAGUGUUAUAGCCCUCGGUGCAAUGCGCCCUACCGGGACCGAGGACCGCGCUUCGGCUAGGAUGCUGGCGUAAUGGUUGUAAGCGACCCGUCUUGAAACACGGACCAAGGAGUCUAACAUCUAUGCGAGUGUUUGGGUGUCAAACCCAUACGCGUAAUGAAAGUGAACGGAGGUGAGAACCCUUAAGGGUGCAUCAUCGACCGAUCCUGAUGUCUUCGGAUGGAUUUGAGUAAGAGCAUAGCUGUUGGGACCCGAAA